rnacentral:rRNA from 1 species
GACGGGGGGGGCAAGUGUUCUUCGGAAUGACUGGGCGUAAAGGGCACGUAGGCGGUUUACUAAGUCAGACGUGAAAGCCCUGGGCUUAACCCGGGAAUGGCGUUUGAUACUGGUAAACUAGAGAUUCAGAGAGGUGAGUGGAAUUCCUAGUGUAGAGGUGAAAUUCGUAGAUAUUAGGAGGAACAUCAGUGGCGAAGGCGGCUCACUGGCUGAAUACUGACGCUAAGGCGCGAAAGCGUGGGGAGCAAACAGG